AUUGAACGCUGGCGGCAGGCUUAACACAUGCAAGUAGAGCGAGCGGCGGACGGGUGAGUAAUGUCUGGGAAACUGCCUGAUGGAGGGGGAUAACUACUGGAAACGGUAGCUAAUACCGCAUUCCAACAGAUGUGCCCAGAUGGGAUUAGCUAGAAGGUGGGGUAAUGGCCCACCUAAGCGACGAUCCCUAGCUGGGCUGAGAGGAGGACCAGCCACACUGGAACUGAGACACGAUCCAGAUGCCUACGGGAGGAAGCAGUGGGUAUGAUUGCACAAUGGGAGGAAGCCUGAUGCAGCCAUGCCGCGUGUGGGAAGAAGGCCUUCUGGUUUUAAAGCACUUUCAGCGAGGAGGCGUUACUCGCAGAAGAAGCACCGGCUAACUCCGUGCCAGCAGCCGCGGUAAUUC
rnacentral:rRNA from 1 species